CUUUAGAUAAGAUUGAUGUGGGUGUUAAUUUUGAAGCAUAAGUUGAUGAAUUAAAGCAAGUUUCUGAACCCCAGGGGACUGAGUCGAUUAAGUUUUAAGAUGGGUCGACUAAAUUGCAAAAAAUAGAAAGCUGAAGUUUGAAAAAACUAUAUGGCACGCAAGUUAGUCGACCCAGUUUUAAGUGAGCCAACCCAGUCUGCAAAAAAAUCUGGAAAACACUGAAAUGAAUUUUUGGGGAAUUAUUUGAUAGGUGGUUUUCUUGGAUUGGGCCACUUAGCAGGAAGAGGG
rnacentral:lncRNA from 1 species